AAAAAAGAAAGAUAUCUUUCUCAUCUUCUUUCUUUUCACAUCAAACAAAGGGGGAAAGAAAAAAUAUUUCUUUCAUCAUUUUCUUUCAAAUUCAAGUGUAAGGUAGUUAGAUUCGAUAGAUCAUUCCAGCAGCAUCUGAAGAACCGAAGUUCAGCUCAAACAAUGUUGGUGAAGAGUUUACUUUAUAGUUGAUGUAAAUGGCAUGUACCUAGGCUUAUAAAUAUAUAAUAGUACGUCGUAAAUUGAAUUUAAAUAAUUUCAUUAUGUUUUCUUAGCUA